ACUCAUCCGUAGUACUCAAAAUGUUAAAUUCGAUUAGAUUCAGACUAGACUAGUAGCGAUCAUUUUGGUCCCUUGAUAAGUUAUUAGUUCUAUAGGGAUGAUAUAAUCGCUUUUAAAUUUACUCAAAAGAUGAUGAUCGAAUGCCAUAAAAUGUUUAACCUGCCUCAGUGGGCACCAACUGCUUUAAAAUGAGAUGUUGAAUUUCACGGAUUAUGGGUUCGUGUCACGGGAGCUUCAUUUAGAGGAGAAUUAUAGGGGAGUAACAAGGUCACCCUUAAGUUCAUGUGUUGUGUCACUCAAAUGAUGGUGAUCAAAUGUCAGAAUUAGAUUUGGUCUUCCACUUCCAGUUUCAGACACUGCAAAGUCUUCAUGGAGCAAAUCAUUGAAGAACAGGCAAGUUCUAUGCCAAACUCACCAGAUCAAAACAGCAGACCAACCAGUCUGGUGAUCAAG